GUACGGGGCUCAGCCAUGAGCCGAAGCUUAGGAUGCCGUAAGGCAUGGUAGCAGAGCGUAGUGUGACAUAGUCUCAUUCCUCCUUCACGUCUUCGGGCGUAUUGGAGGAGAGAGGCUUUCGAUGAAGCCGGCGCGUGAGCGAUCCGGUGGAGAGAUCACUAGUGAGAAUGAUGACAUGAGUAGCGACAAAGAGUGUGAGAGACACUCUCGCCGAAAGUCCAAGGGUUCCUGCUUAAAGCUAAUCUGAGCAGGGUAAGCCGGCCCCUAAGCCGAGGCCGAAAGGCGUAGGCGAUGGGAACUAGGUUAAUAUUCCUAGGCCGUGGAGUGGUGACGGAUCUCAGAGGUAGUUCAUCCUUAUCGGAUUGAAUGGGCUGCUGAGAGGUUCCUGGAAAUAGCCCUCCUAUAAGACCGUACCCUAAACCGACACAGGUGGACUGGUAGAGAAUACCAAGGCGCUUGAGAGAACGAUGUUGAAGGAACUCGGCAAAAUACCUCCGUAAGUUCGCGAGAAGGAGGCCCGGUUCCUAGGCAACUAGGGGCUGGGGGCACAAACCAGGGGGUGGCGACUGUUUAUUAAAAACACAGGGCUCUGCGAAGUCGCAAGACGACGUAUAGGGUCUGACGCCUGCCCGGUGCCUGAAGGUUAAAAGGAGAGGUGAGAGCCUUGAAUUGAAGCCCAGGUAAACGGCGGCCGUAACUAUAACGGUCCUAAGGUAGCGAAAUUCCUUGUCGGGUAAGUUCCGACCUGCACGAAUGGCGUAACGACUUCCCCGCUGUCUCCAACAUCGACUCAGCGAAAUUGAAUUGCCUGUCAAGAUGCAGGCUUCCCGCGGUUAGACGGAAAGACCCCGUGCACCUUUACUACAGCUUCGCACUGGCAUCAGGAUUGUGAUGUGCAGGAUAGGUGGUGGGCUUUGAAGCAGAGACGCAAGUCUUUGUGGAGCCUCCCUUGAGAUACCACCCUUCGCACUCUUGAUGUCUAACCGCGGUCCGUUAUCCGGAUCCGGGACCCUGCGUGGCGGGUAGUUUGACUGGGGCGGUCGCCUCCUAAAGCGUAACGGAGGCGCGCGAAGGUUGGCUCAGAGCGGUCGGAAAUCGCUCGUUGAGUGCAAUGGCAGAAGCCAGCCUGACUGCGAGACUGACAAGUCGAGCAGAGUCGAAAGACGGCCAUAGUGAUCCGGUGGUCCCGAGUGGAAGGGCCAUCGCUCAACGGAUAAAAGGUACGCCGGGGAUAACAGGCUGAUACUGCCC
rnacentral:rRNA from 1 species